rnacentral:rRNA from 1 species
ACUCCUACGGGAGGCAGCAGUGGGGAAUAUUGCACAAUGGGGGAAACCCUGAUGCAGCCAUGCCGCGUGUGUGAAGAAGGCCUUCGGGUUGUAAAGCACUUUCAGCGAGGAGGAAAGGGUGUAAGUUAAUACCUUACAUCUGUGACGUUACUCGCAGAAGAAGCACCGGCUAACUCCGUGCCAGCAGCCGCGGUAAUACGGAGGGUGCGAGCGUUAAUCGGAAUUACUGGGCGUAAAGCGCAUGCAGGUGGUUUGUUAAGUCAGAUGUGAAAGCCCGGGGCUCAACCUCGGAACUGCAUUUGAAACUGGCAGACUAGAGUACUGUAGAGGGGGUAGAAUUUCAGGUGUAGCGGUGAAAUGCGUAGAGAUCUGAAGGAAUACCGGUGGCGAAGGCGGCCCCCUGGACAGAUACUGACACUCAGAUGCGAAAGCGUGGGGAGCAAACAGGAUUAGAUACCCUGGUAGCUCGAUGU